rnacentral:rRNA from 1 species
AUACGUAGGUGACAAGCGUUAUCCGGAUUUACUGGGCGUAAAGGGCGUGUAGGCGGUCUUGCAAGUCAGAAGUGAAAUUCCUGAGCUCAACUCGGGCGCUGCUUCUGAAACUGCAGGACUUGAGUGCUGGAGGGGAUAGCGGAAUUCCUAGUGGAGCGGUAAAAUGCGCAGAUAUUAGGAAGAACACCGGUGGCGAAGGCGGCUAACUGGACAGUAACUGACGCUGAGGCGCGAAAGCGUGGGGAGAAAACAGGAUGAGAUACCCGGGUAGUCCACGCCGUAAACGAUGAAUACUAGGUGUAGGGGGUAUCGACUCCCUCUGUGCCGCAGUUAACACAAUAAGUAUUCCGCCUGGGGAGUACGGCCGCAAGGUUGAAACUCAAAUGAAUUGACGGGG